CUUAUGACCUCACUUCUCAAAGACCUCAGGGAUACAGAGUUGAGACAACGCAGGGAUCUGUUUGACGCCGGGCUGCGGUCUGUUGCCCGCUACUGUAGUCAUGACAACCAGGCCUCGUCAGAGAGCAGGAGGAUCCAGCGCCAGUGGCUGAGGCUCGACCCCUCAGACCGACGCUGCCAAGUGUGCCAACACCUCUGCUACCUCUCCAUGGUGGUUCAGGAG